CUUUCAUAUUUAAUUCGUACACAUUGUAAAAUAUUGUAUUUUUAUUUCUUUCAGUUUACCAAUCUACUGACUAUUAUGUAACCCUUUCUGGUGGAAUUUAUAAUUACAAUUUCAAACAAGUUGUGUUCGUUAUAUCUUCAUCGAGAUUGCGAUUGCAGUCACCUGGUUAAGCUAGUUGAGUCCGGCUCAGCAUAGUAAAUUGACAACAACUUGUCUACACAUCUCCUGAUCAGGAAAUACAACGGAGCAUCGUUCGUAGCUGUUACAUCGACACUACGCAACACAGCUUGUGCGUCCUAGGCAGCAAACCAACAACGUUGAACAAACAUUGCCGAUUUACAUCAUGGAUCCCAGUCACGCGGAACAGCAAGAAGAGGUUCAGCCCCCAGAGGGAGAUGUCACUGAAGAACCUAUAGAGAAUCCGUCUAUAACCACACAUGUAGAUGAAAAUCCCG
rnacentral:lncRNA from 1 species